ACCAUCUCGUAGUCGAAGACAAAUGUUCAAUUUUAGCUACUGACUUAUAUGUAUUCAGCUACAACAUGUUAUAUUCGAAUACAGCUUUGUAUUUUGCCAAAAAUAUUAUUUAUAUAUUUUGACUCUUUAAAAAAUCCUUUUGAUGCAUAUGCUAAAUUGAAAGGUUCUCAUGUGUAUUUCAAAUAUAUCUUUACAUUAUCGUGCAUCUUUACAUUAUAUAUCUUCUAAUUUGUGUGAACAUGGUUGACUUUGAUUAUUUGACUUCUUUUUUAUCUUUGUAGCUUUGAACAUAUUCCUUGGUCUUUGUCUUCAUCAAAAACAUGUAUUUUACAUUUGAGUGGUGGAAGACUUAUGGAGCACAAACUCCACUGUUGCAAUUAUUGGCCAUUAAAGUGUUAAGUUUGACAUGCAGUUCUUCAGGAUGUGAGCGUAAUUGGAGUACUUUUGAGCAUAUUCAUUCCAAGAAGAGAAGUAGACUUGAGCAUAAGAGGUUGGAAGACUUGGUUUUCGUUAAGUAUAACUAGGCUUUGAAAGAGUGUUAUGAUUGUCGUGAUGUGAUUAAUCCAAUCGUCUUGGAUGAUGAUGAUGACUAUAUCAAUUAAUUUGAAGUGGGAGACUUGGGGGAAGAUGGUGAACCUGUUGAAGAAUUAGUUUAUGCCAGUGGUAAUCUAACUUGGACUGAUGUUGCCAAUGCAAGUGGGGCUAAUAAGCCAGUGGUCUACACUAGGGAGCAGCAAAAGAAAAGGCAGCUGCAAGUGCAUCUAGGGCAAUUGCACAAGAAGCAAUAUCAAAAGAAGUGAUAGUAGAAGAAGUUGAACCUGUUUAUGUUGAAGAUGAUGAGGAUGAGGAGAAUAAAGAAUAUAUUGAAGUUGAUGGGGAAGAGGAGGAGGAAGAAGAAGAAGAAGACUAUGUUGAAGAUGAUGAUGAUAUUUGAUUCCUGUAACAUGCAUUUUAGUUUUAAUAUUUUGUUAUUUUAUUACUCGACUAUGUUGAAAAAGAUGAUGACAUUUGAUAUUUAAAUCUAUAUUUUGAUUAAGACUAUUUGGUAUCUAAAGUAUGUUUUGAUUAAGAUUA